rnacentral:lncRNA from 1 species
CUUUGUCAGUUAUGGGCUCCGUGUUUGCAUCCCCCUGGAAUUCACAUGGUGCAAUUUAACCCCAAGUUCAGCGUUGGGACAUGGAGCCCAGGGGAGGUGGUCGUUAGGUUCAAGACAGCUCAUCCGUCCUGCCCUGCAACAGCAAGGGGGAUGACCUACGGGCGGGCAGGUCCCCCCAGGCUCUAACCCGCCAGCCUCGGACUUGACUCUCCGGCCUUGUGGCAUCUGGUUCCAGCAGCCCGAAAGGGUGUUGAACAUAAAUCUUGCAAGAAGCUAACAGCCUUUGACCAUCCUGAAUGGACGCACGGCAGCCCCAGUUUGCAUCUCCUCAUCUGCAGAGCAUCAACGACCCUUUCUUUGCCAGUCCUUGCUGCGCUUAGCUGGGGUCCUCCCUGCAGAUGCUCGCCUGGGUCCUCUGAGCUCCGUCCUCCAGCUUCCGGUUCCUGAGAGGAGGUCAUCAUCUCAACCAGAGGGCAGCAGGUCAGAGGCCAGAGGGAAGAGAGCGCAUGCGCAUGCAAAAGUGGAUGUGACGUGCUCGCGCAGUGGAGAGGCGAUAGACCACGAAGGGAGA